rnacentral:rRNA from 1 species
AUUGAACGCUGGCGGCAGGCCUAACACAUGCAAGUCGAACGGUAACAGAAAGCAGCUUGCUGCUUUGCUGACGAGUGGCGGACGGGUGAGUAAUGUCUGGGAAACUGCCUGAUGGAGGGGGAUAACUACUGGAAACGGUAGCUAAUACCGCAUAACGUCGCAAGACCAAAGAGGGGGACCUUCGGGCCUCUUGCCAUCGGAUGUGCCCAGAUGGGAUUAGCUAGUAGGUGGGGUAACGGCUCACCUAGGCGACGAUCCCUAGCUGGUCUGAGAGGAUGACCAGCCACACUGGAACGGAGACACGGUCCAGACUCCUACGGGAGGCAGCAGUGGGGAAUAUUGCACAAUGGGCGCAAGCCUGAUGCAGCCAUGCCGCGUGUAUGAAGAAGGCCUUCGGGUUGUAAAGUACUUUCAGCGGGGAGGAAGGGAGUAAAGUUAAUACCUUGGCUCAUUGACGUUACCCGCAGAAGAAGCACCGGCUAACUCCGUG